GGUGGGGGGGUUGGGGGUCCCUCAGCCCAGAUUGCAAGAGGGUGCAGGCCAGGCUGAGGGACCCCAGCAGUGCAUG
rfam:Myotis brandtii contig169328, whole genome shotgun sequence.